rnacentral:rRNA from 1 species
AUUGAACGCUGGCGGCAGGCCUAACACAUGCAAGUCGAGCGGAGCGGCGGACGGGUGAGUAAUGUCUGUGAAACUGCCCGAUGGAGGGGGAUAUCUACUGGAAACGGUAGCUAUUAUCGCAUACUCUCUGAGGACCCUAGGUCGGGUUAGCUAGUUGGUGGGGUAAAGGCCUACCAAGGCGACGCUCCGUAACUGGUCUGAGAGGAUGAUCAGCCACACUGGAACUGAGACACGGUCCAGACUCCUACGGGAGGCAGCAGUGGGGAAUAUUGGACAAUGGGGGAAAGCCUGAUCCAGCCAUGCCGCGUGUGUGAAGAAGGUCUUCGGAUUGUAAAGCACUUUAAGUUGGGAGGCGUUACCAACAGAAUAAGCACCGGCUAACUUCGUGCCAGCAGCCGCGGUAAUUC